ensembl:misc_RNA 7SK 7SK RNA
AAAUGUGAGGGUGAUCUGGCCACAUCCUCUUUCAGCUCACUGAUUGCCAGGGAUAAUUUGGCUGAUCUGGCUGCCCCAGAGGGCAUCCCUUUCCUCUUCACCCCUCCAUGUGUGCCUAUCAAAGCUGCAUGCUUAGUAGAACACUAUGAUCUUCCCAGAGGAGGGCUGUUCUUCAGUCAGGAGUGCUAUGUGGAAGCUAGGGUCCCCUGCUAGAAGCUCUGCACAAGCUCUCAAGGUUCAUUUGCUAGAGAACAUAGGGUAGUCAAACUGCCAAGACUCCGGACAUAUCUAAAUGAGGUGCUUUAUGAGGCAAUAUACCUUUCUUA